GUGUUGCUCAGUGGUAGAGUGCUUGCCUGGCAUGCACAAACCCUGGGUUCAAUUCCCAGCAC
rnacentral:tRNA from 1 species